CCUACGGGAGGCAGCAGUGAGGAAUAUUGGUCAAUGGACGAGAGUCUGAACCAGCCAAGUAGCGUGAAGGAUGACUGCCCUAUGGGUUGUAAACUUCUUUUAUAUGGGAAUAAAACGUUCAACGUUUGGCAUUUUGUAUUUCCCAUAUGAAUAAGGAUCGGCUAACUCCGUGCCAGCAGCCGCGGUAAUACGGAGGAUCCGAGCGUUUUCCGGAUUUAUUGGGUUUAAAGGGAACGUAGGUGGAGUGUUAAGUCAGUUGUGAAAGUUUGCGGCUCAACCGUAAAAGUGCAGUUGAAACUGGCAGGCUUGAGUACAGUAGAGGUGGGCGGAAGUCGUGGUGUAGCGGUGAAAUGCUUAGAUAUCACGAAGAACUCCGAUUGCGAAGGCAGUUCACUGGACUGCAACUGACACUGAGGCACGAAAGUGUGGGUAUCAAACAGGAUUAGAUACCCGUGUAGUC
rnacentral:rRNA from 1 species